UACAGAGGUCCCAAGCGUUGUUCGGAUUCACUGGGCGUAAAGGGUGCGUAGGUGGUUGGGUAAGUCUGAUGUGAAAUCUCUGAGCUCAACUCAGAAACUGCAUUGGAUACUAUCCGGCUAGAGAAUCGGAGGGGGGACUGGAAUACUUGGUGUAGCAGUGAAAUGCGUAGAUAUCAAGUGGAACACCAGUGGCGAAGGCGAGUCUCUGGACAUUUCCUGACGCUGAGGCACGAAAGCCAGGGGAGCAAACGGG
rnacentral:rRNA from 1 species